rnacentral:rRNA from 1 species
CCUACGGGGGGCAGCAGUGGGGAAUAUUGCGCAAUGGGCGAAAGCCUGACGCAGCGACGCCGCGUGAGGGACGAAGGUCCUCGGAUUGUAAACCUCUUUCAGCAGGGACGAAGGGAAACUGACGGUACCUGCAGAAGAAGCACCGGCUAACUACGUGCCAGCAGCCGCGGUAAUACGUAGGGUGCAAGCGUUGUCCGGAUUUAUUGGGCGUAAAGAGCUCGUAGGCGGCCUGUCACGUCGGAUGUGAAAACCCGGGGCUCAACCCCGGGCCUGCAUUCGA